GACGGAAGGUCUACAAAGGAAGGAAUUCUAUACUGUCACACUUGCACCACGUCAUUAAUAACAAAUCAAUCAUAUUUUUUAUUUUCAAAUAAAAAUAUAAUAAAAAUAUUUUUUUAUAAUCAUGAUAGAACAUAUACUUCUAAAAAAAAUAUUUAAUUAAUUUCGUACGCCAUAUCACUAAUAUACCGGUUGCAUUCUAGAAUUUUUCCUACAG
rnacentral:lncRNA from 1 species